GGGCAUGGUUCAAUGGUAGAACAGCGGUCUCCAAAACCGUUGAUGAGGGUUCGAUUCCUUCUGCCC
rnacentral:tRNA from 1 species